UAUAAACCCACUCCAAAGCUUAUGGGCCUGACACCAUUUUGUCUCUUAGCGUCUCUUCCAUCCAGCCAUAGCUCAGUUCCACUCAGCUCCAUCCUCUUCUCUUCCCUCAUCAACCAACAGCACCAUCCCAGGCACUCCUGCCAUUUCCAACCUAAAUUAUCAUUCUAUGCAACAUACUCAAGACAGCUGUACCACACCUUUGGCAGAGAAGGGGGUGGCAGCCUUUCCAGGUCUCUUGUGUGCCUAAAGCCACAGCCAGCAGAGUGGGCAAUGCUAAGGCAAUAUUCCAUCAGAAGCCAGAGAAUGGUGACUUCAAAGGACCCCCACAAGGACCACCGCUCCAACAAAGCCUGUUGAUAGAGUAACAUUUCAAAAAGAAGUUUAUUUCUUUAAGGAGCAUAAAGAGUAUGAUCUUCCCCUGAUUCUGCUUCUCACCAGGCAGCACAAAGAGCUCUGUCAAGGGUUAGCCACAAGGCAGUUCUCACCAUGCCCACUGAGGAACGGCAAGAUCAACCCUCAAAUCUGAGACCCAAGGAAAUUACCUCAGCAGCUACAUUUUGGGGAUUUGCAAGAACUGUUCAGCACUAGCAUCUGGGCUAGAAAGGAAACAAGUCCACAAGGGUCUUCUGAGGAACAGUCCCCCUACCCAUGCAUGGACAUGAUACCUCUCCUAUGGGUACUGUUCCAGGUAACUCACCCUUCCCUGCUUUGGCGACCAAUUUCCAAAUCCAUGACCGCUGCUUCUAUGCUCAGAAGCAGAGACAGCCAAUGCACCCCACACUGUGCUGCAGGAAGUCAUACCCAGGUUCCCACACAGCCCUGCAGCCGGUCUGCCCUGCUGGGACCCCAGUCAAAGAGGAGCACACAUGGGCAGCAGUGGACACGCUGCCUUCCUAACCCCCAGGCUCUGGGGCAGAGCACAGUGCCGGAGCUCAGCCCUGCCACA